GCCGGGAUGGCGGAAUUGGUAGACGCACGGGACUCAAAAUCCCGCGAGGGCGACUUCAUGGGGGUUCGAUUCCCCCUCCCGGCACCA
rnacentral:tRNA from 1 species